rnacentral:other from 1 species
CUCCCUGUGGUGCCCGGCAUUCGAUAACGUCCUUGAGCCGAUUUACUUAUAUAGGGCGCUUCUCGCUUAUGCUCUGUGCACGUCCGCUUGUCGGAACGCCUUCCGCCUAAUCAGGAGCGCCCACCUUGAACCUCCGGGUUCAGGGCAACCAUUGGAACCGACACCUUGGGGAG